rnacentral:tRNA from 1 species
AUCUCACUGGUGUACUGGCAGCACAGAAGUCUCCAAAGCUUUUAGACAGGGUUCGAUUCCUUGGUGAGGUGC